rnacentral:rRNA from 1 species
UACGUAGGGGGCUAGCGUUGUCCGGAUUUAUUGGGCGUAAAGAGCGUGUAGGCGGCCAGGUAGGUCGGUUGUGAAAACUGGAGGCUCAACCUUCAGACGUCGACCGAAACCAUCCGGCUAGAGUCCGGGAGAGGAGAGUGGAAUUCCUGGUGUAGCGGUGAAAUGCGCAGAUAUCAGGAAGAACACCCGUGGCGAAAGCGGCUCUCUGGAACGGUACUGACGCUGAGACGCGAAAGCGUGGGGAGCGAACAGG